rnacentral:lncRNA from 1 species
AGGGAUGCUCCGAGGAACGCGAUUCUGAUACCAACUGUAACGACCCCGGAAAUUUGAAUGGAAUAUAUGUAUUAAAAAUGUCAAAUGCGGAAGCGUAAUAUAAAUUUUGAUUAACAUCCCUUACACAAUAACCUAAACGUACUCAAAACAUGAAAGAACAAACUAACUAAAAGAGAUACUCGAAAUGAGAACUGUAAAUAUAGCUAUGGAGUCUUUAGGCGUCCCCUUCGUCGUCUUCCUGCCGAACGGGCUCGGGAACAAUGUCUUCCUGAUCUGAAAUGGUUAAAUAAGGAAUGAACUACACCAGCCUAGUAAAGACAUCACACUAUCUCACCGCCACGGAAGUAAAGGUGGGUAGAAAACAAAAAUGACCAAUGGAGCAUAAUUUAUAACAAACUCGUUUAUUAACAUAAAAACCUUUACUGUCCACUUAUCUCGGUGAGAUCCAUGAAAACAACAUAUGAAAGCAAUAACAUUAUCAUCAUCAUGAAAUCAUAUAAACUUUAUAACAUAACACUUGUCACGCCUUUGCAUUUCAAUCAUUAAACAACAUAUUUUCCUCUUUUACCAGCCUACUAGUAUCCAUGGGGAUCCAUAGGGGGUCCCUACUACCCGUGAACCAUUAACAUUACAACCUGAUUCCAGGACCGUCCCCAUACCCCGUCCGGUAUGGGCGCUAAAACUAUGAACCUCAAUACCCCGUCCGGUAUGAGGGUGAAACGGGUCAUCCCCAUACCCCGUCCGGUAUGGGCGCCAAAACACAUAAGGUCUCCAUACCCCGUCCGGUAUGAGAGACCACGUUUCCGGUAGGGUUCCCUACGGACCUGGUCCAUCCACCAUCUCCCAGGAUAUCUAGUUAGGCUGUCUACAUUUUUCACAUAUCAAUUCACAUCACCUUUUUGCCUUUUUUCUUAAUCUCAAUCAUCCAAUCAUACACAACAUGUAAACUAGUAAUUGACACUCAACAAAAUAACACAGUAUC